rnacentral:snoRNA from 2 species
AGUGGCUGUGAAGACUUGGAAAUAUUCAAGCUCAACAGACCGAAUCACAUGUCUAUCUCUAUAGAUGAGAUUGAUCUGUAUGUCGAUUAUCCCGCUGAACCGAGCCAUA